UACGGGGGGGGCAAGCGUUGUUCGGAAUUACUGGGCGUAAAGGGUUCGUAGGUGGCUGGCUAAGUCAGACGUGAAAUCCCUCAGCUCAACUGGGGAACUGCGUCUGAUACUGGAUGGCUUGAGUUUGGGAGAGGGAUGCGGAAUUCCAGGUGUAGCGGUGAAAUGCGUAGAUAUCUGGAGGAACACCGGUGGCGAAGGCGGCAUCCUGGACCAACACUGACACUGAGGAGCGAAAGCCAGGGGAGCAAACGGG
rnacentral:rRNA from 1 species